GUGGAAGUACGAGAAGGAAAGGUGUUUAUAGAUAAUCAUCAGAAAUCUAGAUUGACUUUCAUACCUCCAUAACAGUUCCUUUCAUCCGGGUUGUCUUGUGGAAUAAUAACCAGUUGCACAAUUUAUUAGGGCCAGACUAGUAAUAUUGGAGGAUGGCAAGUUUUGAUUCAAAUGUGGAAUAAAUAGUUUAGGCAUUUUCAUACGUAGGGUAUAACCAACUGAUGGUGCUUGACUGUAAAAAGAAAGUGUGGCUCUUUUUGGAAAAACAGAGUGGCCAUCAAGGGCAGCAGAUACCUUGUGUUACAACAUUUUCAAUUAAUUCACAGAAGUUUAAACAUAUUCUUCACAAGCACUGGGAUAUUGUACAGUCUGACAAGACGUUUGUGGCAUGCUUCAGUGAGAAACUCCUAUUUUCAUUCAAGAGCAGCAACAAUUUAUGUGACAAUUUGGUAACGAAUCCUUGUGAUGGGAAUGUCUUACUCCAGUGAUUGGCAUUCCUUACCACUGAUG